ACGGUGGUUGUUGAGUGGUAGAAUUCUCACUUACCAUGUGGGAGACCAGGGUUGGAUUCCCAGCCAACGCA
rnacentral:tRNA from 1 species